rnacentral:rRNA from 1 species
UACGUAGGGGGCAAGCGUUGUCCGAAUUUAUUGGGCGUAAAGAGCGUGUAGGCGGUUCGGUAGGUCCGUUGUGAAAACUCGAGGCUCAACCUCGAGACGCCGAUGGAAACCAUCGAACUAGAGUCCGGAAGAGGAGAGUGGAAUUCCUGGUGUAGCGGUGAAAUGCGCAGAUAUCAGGAAGAACACCCGUGGCUAAGGCGGCUCUCUAGUACGGUACUGACGCUGAGACGCGAAAGCGUGGGGAGCGAACAGG